rnacentral:rRNA from 1 species
AGCCCAGAGCCUGAAUCAGUGUGUGUGUUAGUGGAAGCGUCUGGAAAGGCGCGCGAUACAGGGUGACAGCCCCGUACACAAAAAUGCACAUGCUGUGAGCUCGAUGAGUAGGGCGGGACACGUGGUAUCCUGUCUGAAUAUGGGGGGACCAUCCUCCAAGGCUAAAUACUCCUGACUGACCGAUAGUGAACCAGUACCGUGAGGGAAAGGCGAAAAGAACCCCGGCGAGGGGAGUGAAAAAGAACCUGAAACCGUGUACGUACAAGCAGUGGGAGCACGCUUAGGCGUGUGACUGCGUACCUUUUGUAUAAUGGGUCAGCGACUUAUAUUCUGUAGCAAGGUUAACCGAAUAGGGGAGCCGAAGGGAAACCGAGUCUUAACUGGGCGUUAAGUUGCAGGGUAUAGACCCGAAACCCGGUGAUCUAGCCAUGGGCAGGUUGAAGGUUGGGUAACACUAACUGGAGGACCGAACCGACUAAUGUUGAAAAAUUAGCGGAUGACUUGUGGCUGGGGGUGAAAGGCCAAUCAAACCGGGAGAUAGCUGGUUCUCCCCGAAAGCUAUUUAGGUAGCGCCUCGUGAAUUCAUCUCCGGGGGUAGAGCACUGUUUCGGCAAGGGGGUCAUCCCGACUUACCAACCCGAUGCAAACUGCGAAUACCGGAGAAUGUUAUCACGGGAGACACACGGCGGGUGCUAACGUCCGUCGUGAAGAGGGAAACAACCCAGACCGCCAGCUAAGGUCCCAAAGUCAUGGUUAAGUGGGAAACGAUGUGGGAAGGCCCAGACAGCCAGGAUGUUGGCUUAGAAGCAGCCAUCAUUUAAAGAAAGCGUAAUAGCUCACUGGUCGAGUCGGCCUGCGCGGAAGAUGUAACGGGGCUAAACCAUGCACCGAAGCUGCGGCAGCGACGCUUAUGCGUUGUUGGGUAGGGGAGCGUUCUGUAAGCCUGCGAAGGUGUGCUGUGAGGCAUGCUGGAGGUAUCAGAAGUGCGAAUGCUGACAUAAGUAACGAUAAAGCGGGUGAAAAGCCCGCUCGCCGGAAGACCAAGGGUUCCUGUCCAACGUUAAUCGGGGCAGGGUGAGUCGACCCCUAAGGCGAGGCCGAAAGGCGUAGUCGAUGGGAAACAGGUUAAUAUUCCUGUACUUGGUGUUACUGCGAAGGGGGGACGGAGAAGGCUAUGUUGGCCGGGCGACGGUUGUCCCGGUUUAAGCGUGUAGGCUGGUUUUCCAGGCAAAUCCGGAAAAUCAAGGCUGAGGCGUGAUGACGAGGCACUACGGUGCUGAAGCAACAAAUGCCCUGCUUCCAGGAAAAGCCUCUAAGCAUCAGGUAACAUCAAAUCGUACCCCAAACCGACACAGGUGGUCAGGUAGAGAAUACCAAGGCGCUUGAGAGAACUCGGGUGAAGGAACUAGGCAAAAUGGUGCCGUAACUUCGGGAGAAGGCACGCUGAUAUGUAGGUGAAGCGACUUGCUCGUGGAGCUGAAAUCAGUCGAAGAUACCAGCUGGCUGCAACUGUUUAUUAAAAACACAGCACUGUGCAAACACGAAAGUGGACGUAUACGGUGUGACGCCUGCCCGGUGCCGGAAGGUUAAUUGAUGGGGUCAGCGCAAGCGAAGCUCUUGAUCGAAGCCCCGGUAAACGGCGGCCGUAACUAUAACGGUCCUAAGGUAGCGAAAUUCCUUGUCGGGUAAGUUCCGACCUGCACGAAUGGCGUAAUGAUGGCCAGGCUGUCUCCACCCGAGACUCAGUGAAAUUGAACUCGCUGUGAAGAUGCAGUGUACCCGCGGCAAGACGGAAAGACCCCGUGAACCUUUACUAUAGCUUGACACUGAACAUUGAGCCUUGAUGUGUAGGAUAGGUGGGAGGCUUUGAAGUGUGGACGCCAGUCUGCAUGGAGCCGACCUUGAAAUACCACCCUUUAAUGUUUGAUGUUCUAACGUUGACCCGUAAUCCGGGUUGCGGACAGUGUCUGGUGGGUAGUUUGACUGGGGCGGUCUCCUCCUAAAGAGUAACGGAGGAGCACGAAGGUUGGCUAAUCCUGGUCGGACAUCAGGAGGUUAGUGCAAUGGCAUAAGCCAGCUUGACUGCGAGCGUGACGGCGCGAGCAGGUGCGAAAGCAGGUCAUAGUGAUCCGGUGGUUCUGAAUGGAAGGGCCAUCGCUCAACGGAUAAAAGGUACUCCGGGGAUAACAGGCUGAUACCGCCCAAGAGUUCAUAUCGACGGCGGUGUUUGGCACCUCGAUGUCGGCUCAUCACAUCCUGGGGCUGAAGUAGGUCCCAAGGGUAUGGCUGUUCGCCAUUUAAAGUGGUACGCGAGCUGGGUUUAGAACGUCGUGAGACAGUUCGGUCCCUAUCUGCCGUGGGCGCUGGAGAACUGAGGGGGGCUGCUCCUAGUACGAGAGGACCGGAGUGGACGCAUCACUGGUGUUCGGGUUGUCAUGCCAAUGGCACUGCCCGGUAGCUAAAUGCGGAAGAGAUAAGUGCUGAAAGCAUCUAAGCACGAAACUUGCCCCGAGAUGAGUUCUCCCUGACUCCUUGAGAGUCCUGAAGGAACGUUGAAGACGACGACGUUGAUAGGCCGGGUGUGUAAGCGCAGCGAUGCGUUGAGCUAACCGGUACUAAUGAACCGUGAGGCUUAACCUUACAACGCCGAAG